CCCCCUCCGCGUCCCAAACUGCGCACAAUGGCUCGCCGGUUCCUCUAUCUAUUUUGUGUCCAGCCGCGAGCCGCGCGCGCGAUGAUUCAUUGCCCCAAUUAGGGGCUCUCUCCGGCGCGCCCGGAUUGAGCCGUCUGAAGGGUCUCCCGGGGGACCCGCGCCAACCCUGCGGCGGCGCGGGAGCCGAGCUCUAAGGAAAGGUCAAGCAGGUCUCGGGAGGUGCCAGGACACAUGCUGUAUCAUGCACAAGCCCUGGAUUUGAACCCUGACAUCAUAUGAGAACACCAUAGCACCAGGGGAAGAUCCACAGAACUGACUAAGAAAGGUGAAGACAACGGUCUCUGCUUCCAGCCCGGUUCCACCCAACUGACUGGAUGAGCUUGGGUGAUGAGAGAAACAGAGAGAAGAGAUACCACAGCGCUGCUCUACCACUCAUGUGGUGCGGCUUCCCACCUGCAGGUGUUCCCCUGUGGUGGUCAGGGACUUGAACCCAGGUCUUCAUGUAUGCAGCAGCAGUAGCAACAAUGGAAAAAGAUGACCCUCCAGGAGUGCUUUGUUGUGAUUGUUUCUGGAUCUAUGCACAGUUCAGCUCUGGCUCUCAGCGGUGCCAGGGAUGGAACCAGGGACCUCUAGAAUGCAAGUUCUGCUUAUUGUCCUUGUGUCAUUGCCCCGAAGGCAUAUUUUUAAGAAACAUCCUUACAUGGCAAAACAAUAAGCGGCAAUCCUCUGUUGGUCCCUAAAACUAAGGGAGAAACAAAAAAAGUGGAUUCUAGCCCCAGCAAUAACCCUGGAGGCAAAAAUAAAUAAAAUAAAAAAAUUAAAAAUCUCUCUAACACAGUUGGGGAGGUGUACUUCAGUGGAGCACAGGACUUGCAGCUAUCUCUCACAUGUACUCAUAAAAUGAAAGAACGUUUUACAAAUAAAAAGUGACAAAUAAAAGGAUGCUGCCUUUA